rnacentral:rRNA from 1 species
UACCAGCUCUCCGAGUGGUGUGGAUGUUUAUUGGGCCUAAAGCAUCCGUAGCUGGCUGGACAAGUCCCCUGUUAAAUCCACCGAUUUAAUCGUUGGAGUGCGGGGGAUACUGUUCGGCUAGGGGACGGGAGAGGCAGACGGUAUUUUCGGGGUAGGGUGGAAUCCUAUAAUCCCGGGAAGACCACCAGUGGCGAAGGCUGUCUGCUAGAACGCGCCCGACGGUGAGGGAUGAAAGCUGGGGGAGCGAACCGGAUUAGAUACCCGGGUAGUCCCAGCUGUAAACGAUGCAGGCUAGGUGUUUGGGCGGCCACGUGCCGCUCUAGUGCCGCAGGGAAGCCGUUAAGCCUGCCGCCUGGGGAGUACGGCCGCAAGGCUGAAACUUAAAGGAAUUGGCGGGGAGCACCACAAGGGGUGAAGCUUGCGGUUU